rnacentral:lncRNA from 1 species
AUGAUCAACCCCAUCGUGUGUUUCAACAUCAUUGUCAACGGCAAGCCCUUGGGCCACAUCCCCUUCGAGCUGUUUGCAGACAAGAUUCCAAAGACGGCAGAAAACUUUCACUCCUGAGCACUGGAGAGAAAGGAUUUGGUUGUAAGGGUUCCUUUUCUCACUGAAUUAUUCCAGGGUUUAUGUGUCAGGGUGGUAACUUCACAAGCCAUAAUGGCACUGGUGGCAAGUCCAUCUAUGGGGAGAAAUUUGAUGAGGAAAACUUCAUCCUGAGGCAUAGAGUUCCUGGCAUCCUGUCCAUGGCAAAUGCUGGACCCAACAAAAAUGGUUCCAUUUAUCAUCUACACUGCCAAGACUGAAUGGUUGAAGAAUGAGUGGUUGGAUGGCAAGCAUGUGGUCUUUGGCAAGGUGAAAGAAGACAUGGAUAUUGUGGAGGCCAUGGAGCGCUUUGGGUCCAGGAACGGCGGGACCAGCAAGAAGAUCACCACUGCUGACUGUGGACAAC